ensembl:lncRNA
CGAAGUUGCAGUGAGCUCAGCUUUAAGCUCAGCGGGAGAGUCUGUCAAGACCUUCUCUGUUGCUCCAGGUCACCGCGGAGACGCGGUGUUUGAAAAGCGGAUGAGGAGAGUGCAGAACUCCUUCCACCCGCUGGAGCUGCUUCCUUCCCAAAGACUGUAGGGGACACCGAGGCACUUCAGUGCCACGGAUGAAAGGUACUGGGCUGGAACUAAGCCAGAUGUUCGGAGCGGCUCCAGAUGUGUCGCAGGGCGGGGUCAGGACUCUCUUCCCCAGUCCCAGCCCCCAACCUGGAGCUGAGGCCUCUGUCAGUUCCCAGAGAGAAGCUGGACCACGUCUGGUGCACCUACAAGGAGCUCUGGGCAGGAGACUUGAGCAGCUGAGACCUGGAGGAAGAGUUGUUACCAUCAUUCUCUGAAGCUACCCAGCCUUGGCCUUGCUCUUGCUCCUCCUUUGGGAAUUGACUGUGACAGCCCCAGGUAGAAAUUCCAGUCAGAGACCUUUCCCCUCUGGUCUAUGUGUCAGUCCCAGAGAAGGGGCUGGCUGACUGCUUGGUCACGUGUCCUCUGAGUGAAAGUUGGUGAGAAAAUGCUGGGAAGGACCAGGAGCUCCUGUUACCAGAAGAGGACCAGGAAGCACGGAGCCACCAGGCAUGUGUCUGGGUGCAGUUUCUUCUGCCAUCAAGACUCUGCUUCCACACUUUGAGUAAAAGCCAGUGUGUCAGUCUGGGCCUAGCUUAAAGAUACAGAGUGGAGGCUCGAGGGUAGACAGCUAAGGACUGAAUCCUGUGAAAUCAUGAGCUGAAAUAAAUCUCCCUUCCAUGACAUUGUUGUCCCCAACUACCUAUCACAG